rnacentral:tRNA from 1 species
GCAAGUGUAGUUUAAUGGUAGAAUAGAAGCUUCCCAAGCUUUUGGCGUGAGUUCGAUUCUCAUCACUUGCUCCA